AGCGAACGCUGGCGGCAGGCCUAACACAUGCAAGUCGAACGAACUCUUCGGAGUUGGUGGCGGACGGGUGAGUAACACGUGGGAACGUGCCUUUUGGUUCGGAAUAACUCAGGGAAACUUGUGCUAAUACCGAAUGUGCCCUUCGGGGGAAAGAUUUAUCGCCAUUAGAGCGGCCCGCGUCUGAUUAGCUAGUUGGUGAGGUAACGGCUCACCAAGGCGACGAUCAGUAGCUGGUCUGAGAGGAUGACCAGCCACACUGGGACUGAGACACGGCCCAGACUCCUACGGGAGGCAGCAGUGGGGAAUCUUGCGCAAUGGGCGAAAGCCUGACGCAGCCAUGCCGCGUGAAUGAUGAAGGUCUUAGGAUUGUAAAAUUCUUUCACCGGGGACGAUAAUGACGGUACCCGGAGAAGAAGCCCCGGCUAACUUCGUG
rnacentral:rRNA from 1 species